AAAACAGAUUUUUCUUUUUGCAAAUCCCUUCUCCACAAUUCAUCCAGUGACAAACUAUAAAGAAACAUCUAGAGUCAUAUAUAUUUGUAUAAACAAUCACACAUAGUGUAUGGAGAAGCAAAUGAGAUUAGGGAUUAUGUUACCAUCGAAAAAUGAGGAAUUGUUGUCUUUGGGAGGCGUUGGGGGCUGUGCUGGAGGUCCUGCCUCACCGCAACUUAGAUCAAAGAUAGAGAAUUUACAGUUGGGGAUGACGCAAGGAAGAAACUUGAGAUUGUGAUCAAAUUGCUUCCAACCAUUAUCACACUCACAUUCAUACUUAAAAGUUGCGUUUGAAGAUGCUUUGCAUUUCCCUUUCCCACAUACCACUGCCUUGCAUAUAUUAUCUAUUUUUCAGAAAAUUAAAUCAACCAACUUAACAUGAGUCACAACACACUAGGGGUGAACAGAGUUGAGAAGAGGAAGACAAACCGAAAAUAGGAGAUAGGAAAUCGCAAGUAGCUGUCUUCUGGUAGAUUAGAAGUAAAGCUGCAACGAAGCAUAGUGUGUGCGCAACACAAGCCAUAAAUCUUUCUUCAAUGUUCACAAAAACAAAUCUGAAAAGUACUAAUAGUAUGAUAAACAAAAAGAAAACGAAAGAUCGUUAUAUAAAUUGGUUGAGGGAUUUGGCAAGUGUGUAACACCAUCUGUAUGCCUAUAUUUCUUUCUCUAAUACGUUUGAGUUUGGUUAUAGGAGAUUCUUUUCUAUCUAUGUAUUAAAUUGUAUUAAAAAGUACAUUUGAUAUAUUAAUAUUUAUACAUAAAAUUAGUUUUACAAUAUCAUAAUUUAAAUUUUCUAAUAUUAUAUUCAUACAUAUAUUUAUAAAUCUUGUAUAAAUAUUUAAUUUAUGUAUUAUUUUAAAAUUUUAGUAUUUUUACAAAUAUAAUUUUUUUAAUUAUUUUAUGAAUCUGGAUUCGGAUACAUGCGGGGAUACCCACAAGUAGUAUAAUAUCUACCUGGAUAUCCAAAAUCUAAAUAUCCCAAAACCACUAAUUCGGAAGCUACGAAUCCAGAUCAAGAUACUAAAUCCAUGGAUCCGACAAAUUCGGAUGUCCUAAAUUUCCCUGAUAAUUGGAUCCGUCUUACCCCUAGUUUGGUGUGACAUGCCUCUUAACUAUGGAUGUUAAAAUGGGAACAACCAUAUUAAAAGAUUUAGCCAUAAUUCUGACUUUUAAAACAUGGCUCAAGAAGGGUUCAACAUAAUUAACUCGGAUAUUUAUAGGGCUUAAACUUUAUCCCAUUAAUUUCACUUCACAUCAUUUUAUACAGUAUUUAAAUAUAUUGAAAUCUAUGUGUUUGAUUAUGGAAAUUUGAGUUUUUUUCAUCAAAAUCGCAAAAUUGAAUUUUCCAACCAAAUAACAAAAGUAUAGUUUUCCGCAAAUAUAUCAAAAUCGAAUUUUCUUGCAAAAACCACAAAAUCAAAUUUUCUCGCUAAAACCGCAAAAUCAAGUUUUCCCACAAAAACCGCAAAAAGGAGUUUUACUGUUAAAAUACAAAAUCAAGUUCUUGGGGCACAACUACAAAAUCGAGUUUUGGGCUAAAAUCGAAAAUCAAGUUUUCUAGCCUAAACGACUAAAAUCAAGUUUUCAGGAUAAACCACAAAAUUGAGUUUUUCGCCAAAACAUCAAAAUCUAAAUUUUCCCUGAAACAAAAAAAUCGAAUUUUUCCGAGAAAAUCACAAAUUUGAAUUUUCCUCCCAAAACCACUAGAUUUAAGUUUCCUCGUUGAAAAUCACUAAAUCAAUUUUUCCGUCAAAACUGUAAAAUUAAGUUUUUUUCUCUAAAUGGUAACAUCACGUUUUUCUGCCGCAAUUGCAGAAUCAAAUUUUCCUGCCAAAAUUGCAAAAUCAAGUAUUUCUGACAAAACUACAAAAUCGAAUUUUCCGGCAAAUUCGCAAUAUUGAGUUUUCUACCAAAAUCGCAAACUCAGUUUUUUUUUCUGCCAAAAUCGUAAAUAUAAUUUUCUUGUAUUAUAUAGAUUGUUUAAUAAAAUUAUUAUUUAAAUCAUAAGCUAAUAAUACUUGUGUUUUGGUACACAAACAAAUAUUUACUUGUGUUUUUUAAUAUAUUAUGAAAUGGUUAACCUGAGCUCAUCCCUUUGAUAAACUAUUAGAGCUAGAAUAGGAAUGGAUAUAUUUUUUUUUCAUAGCCGGACUGGGCUUAAAAUCCCUAUAUACAGUGGCGGAGCUACCGUUACGGUAGGGGGGUCAUAUGACCCCUAUGAAUUCUGAUGAAAACAAAUUUUACUUAUGGUUUAAACAACAAUUCUAAUGAAAAUUGCAAAAGUUAUGUUAUGUGACCCCUAUAAUAUAUGAUUUGAAUUAAAAUGACUCCAGUGAAAACUGUGGCUGGCUCCGCCACUGCCUAUAUACCAUCCCUACUCUCAACUGAUGGUUACCUCUAAAACUCCAGCGAAUAUGCGAAUCUAUUGAAUUUCCGGACCAAGCAGCGAUUGUUCUCAUUGUCGGAAACAUAAAAUUUUUGGGCCUAGCUCUUUUACGUUCGUGAUUCUAUUCAACCACUUAUUGUCUUCUGAUGAUUUGAGUUGUGUGGCAAAUAAGUUACGAAGGACUUCCGGUGGGUUCACCUGGACCUUAAUCUGAAAUUAAUGACAUAUUUUUCUUUUGUUAAAGAAUUUACCGGUGUAUUCACCAGAAUCUUGUUUAUAUAUAUCAUCCUCCUUUCUUGAGGAAAAUAAUUUCACCACUUUUCCUCUUUUUGAUGAAAGGAGAAGCCAAACUUUGGUUCCAUCUUUUUCACCAAUUUUUUAAUUUUGCAUAGCUGUCUAGUCGGGAGCAGAAGAUGUCAUUGAGAUAACCUUGUUUCUUUUUGCAGGUGCGAACUGGCUUGCAACAUCGCCUUAUGUGAUUUUUUUCCCACCUAUCUGACUCAGUCGUGAAAGCAUUAUCGACGUAUUAAAGCUCUGUCUUGAAUUUUCUGUCAACUUCUUUUAAAGAUCUAUCUCGUUUAUUUUCCUUGUUUAUUGUAGUGUUUGCUCAUUAUCAAAGAGGAUAAACAAUGCCCUCUGAUUGUUAUGCCCAGAAUAUUGACCGAUUAUGAAAGUAAGUUAUAAUCCAAAAAAAAGACACACGGACACAAAUUAAAAAAAAUUCAUUUUACAGACAAUUGAGGUUUAUAUUGAUAGUUAUGAAACAACUUGUCUUACAAAAAGUGAAGAUUAUCACAAUCCCUUUUAUAUUAUUUGAGGAGCAUUAUGGAUAACUAACCUUUAGUUGAUGUGUUAUUAUCAAAAUUGCCAUUUCCUAUGUGGGGUAUCACCACAAGUUCUCUCACACCCUAUAUUCAAAAACCCUUUGUUAACUAGACUAAUUACAAUAAUUGCCAUUACUUGCCAUUGAUCAUUAGAUUAUAACUUUACUAAUAUACUAUACGUUUCUUCAUUACAAUGACUAACAAAACAUUGACGUCCAUGUUUAAUGCGUUGUUGUUAUUAUUAUUAUUAUUAUUAUUAUUAUUGUUUCCUAUACUUAAAAAGUUACUUAUAUAUGAGAUAACGAGUUUUUGGUACAUGGUCGACAUAUACGUAUUAUAAAUUAUACUUCUUAUAGUUAAAUAGUUAAAUAAAAAAUAUAUAUAUAUAUAUGUAUAUGCACAUGAUCAAUUUAUAAUCAUGAUGUAUCGGAUUAUACCAUUAUGUGUAUAUAUAUCGGAUUUCAUGUAAUAAAAUAUUACCGUUAAAAUUAUAAUAUUUGUGGUCAAGUUAAAUAGAUUGAGACAAAAAUAUUUAUACCAUUUUAUAUAUAGUUACACAAUUAUAUAUAUUGUAUAGCAUUUUAUAGAUAGUUAGACACAAUCUAAGUAUAAUGUCUACUUAUAGUCUAAUUCAAGAAAAAUGGCUAACUAUAGUGUCUAAAAAUUAAUUAAACGUCUAACUAUAACGAAAUCACGAUGACCUGUAUAAUUCCGUUUAAGGAUUUAUCAUGUUUAAUGAUUGUUACGAAAUCACGUUGUUUAAUAGCAUUAAUUAAAAAAUACAAAUUCAAAUCUGGGUGAUAUUAAAGAAACGUGAUUUGCAAGCACAAGCUUGAUUAAUAAUUGUUGAAAGGAAACUUCUAAUAACUUUGAUAUAUUUUUAAAUUACGAAUUUGGUAACAAGGCGUGGGCCAUUAUUUUUGAUCAUUUUUGGUAAUAAUAUAACGUCGAUCAUGGUUACAAAAUUGGAAACGACAACUUAACUUUUGUAUAUAAGGAAGUUAGAUUAUGCAUUUAAAUUAUUGUAAUUAAUUAAUAAUCGUGAAUUUUAUUAUUAUUAUUAUUAAUUGUGUCAUAUAAAGGAAGUUUGAUUUAACUAUUUACAAAAUUAAGGUAAGUUGCGAUUACGAUUGGAGCGCAAGUUACGUGAAAUCAAAUAUGUAAUAUUUUCUUUAAUUACAGUGAUUAUUUUAUGAAUCAUUAACCACAUGGACAAUGAUUUCUUAAUAUAAAUAUAUGCCUUCUACAAUUCAUUGACUCACUAUACCCCUUUUUAUUUGUUUCUUUAAAAUUUGUUUCUUUCAUAUUUUAUUUUUCAAUUAUAUAUGUUUCUUUGAAUAUUCUAUCAUAAUUUUAUAUUAUGAAAUAAAUAAUUCUAUUUUCUAUGUUUUGUUUUGUCUUAAAUUCAUAAUAAAUUAAUAAAAGUUAUUGCAUACUAUUAAACCUAUUUUUUAAAUAACAUCAAUCUAAUUUACACAUAACCAAUUACACAAAACAAUUUUUUUUUCAAAAAAAACACUUAAGCUUGCAUCAUAUAUACAUUCACACAUUUGUUCCAUAUAUAAAAUUUCUAAUAUAUAUAAAUUAAAAAAAAAAUUCUUUUGGUCAUUCAUUCCGCGCAGGGCGCGAGUUAUCACCUAGUGUUUAUUACUAUUGCAACUAGGUGUGAAUCCGCACCUUGUGCGGAUUAAUAUAUAUCCUCAAUAGAAAGUAAUAUUAAUUUUUGUAUUCAAACUAAUUUAUUUAAUUAGAUGUACACACUAAAUUUAUUUUUGUGUGUUUUAUUCAAUUUGUUUAUCAAACUCUAAUGGCUUGUGGGAUGUUUAAACACCAUUUUUUAUUUUAAAGUGAAAUUACUUUCUUUAUUGAUUCUGACUUUAACAAAAUUCCUUUCAAUAUCGAAAAGUGGUGAUAUUUUUCUAAUUUUUCUUUUUUUAUGGUUCAAGUUCGGUAGUUUUAAAGUUAUUUUCUUUAUAUAAUGUUCUUAAUAAGAAAUGGAUGCUAAAUUUUCAAAAAAGAUGAGGUUUUAUAAGUUCAAACCACAUUCAAUUACUAUAACCAAAACAUUUAAUAAGCACAACAUGCCUCAUUCGAUACAUUCAUUCCGGUUAUAAAUUUUAUUGGAUUAUUAACGAAAAAUCAACAUAUAAAUCUAUUUUAAAAGGUAUAGAUUUUGGAUCAAAGUCUUCUCUAGAAAGAACCAAUCCAUCAUUAUGUAAUUUUGAUCUGAAAUAAAACAAUUAUUGUAAUUUUGGAUCAAAAAUAAUUUCAGUGGCACUGAAUUUAUUAGAAACAAUCACUGUUAAACCUCAAAAAAGUAACAGUAGCCAAUAAAAAUCAUAUAUUAUCAACAAUUUAGAUAUUAGAAACAAUAAAAAAAAAUGACCUUUUUGUUUUCUCGUACAGAAACAAAUCGAGCAACACACACAAAACAUGAUGCCUCAUUAGAUUUAAAUAAAAUUUGAUACUUAUUUUGUAUUCUCAGACCAUAUCGUACAUGUUAAACGCAUAUCACUAAAUUUUAAAAUUUUAAAUUAGAAUCACGUCAUAAAAUAUAACAAUAUAAAAUUAAAUACUGAAAAUCUACAUUAACUCAUUAUUAGUUAAUUUUAACUUAGUUAAAGAUUUUUUUUUGCCAUAAGAUUUUCUAAAGGUUCAACAUUCACAACCUUACCAGUAAUAACUAAACACAAAACAUUAGAAUGAGGAACUGAUGAACAAAGAGAGCAUAAAUAAGACACAUCAAUUAAACACACAAUAUGAUAUAUAUAUAUAUAUAUAUAUAUAUAUAUAGAAAACUCGCGGACUAGAACUUCUUUUUCAUACUCGUCCUAAUAUUUCUUUAAUUUCUUUAAAAUAAUUAUUUGCCAACUCUUUAAAAAAAUCAUGACAAUGAAUGAUUUUAGUUGUUCUAUAUAAUUUUAUCUUAAAAUCAUAUUCUAUAUUAUGUGGUAUAGUUGGUGAAAUUACUCAGGAUAAAAAAUCUCUUUGAGAUAACUUAGAUCGGAAGUUAUCAAGAGAACUUUCAUCAAUAGAAGCAUGAAUCUCCUUUCCCUAAUUUUUUUUUUACAAAAAGAAGUCACUAACAUCAAAUCGAGUAAUUAUGCAAAUCAAUAACAAAAGAUAAAAUACUAUUUAUAAUGGUACCAAUACCAUUCAAUCGAAACGAUUUUUGAAUUUUUUCAUGUAUUCUAAGAUUUCAAUACUUUAACUUUAAUCUUGUGUAACAAUCUCUAACCAAAAAAAAACUCCAAUAAAACAAGAGAAAUUUGUUUCCUCUUAAAAACAUCGUCCAUCAAAUGUAUGAUGACAACUGUAUAUACUAAUAUAGAGUAGGUACAGUAUUAUUAUAAUAUAAUAUUAAGAUAGAUACUAAGAUAUAAUCCACAUUAUAGAUGGAUUCAAUAUAAUACUUAGAUAUAACUUUCUUAUUAUAUAUAUAUACUAUUAUUUAACUAUAAUAUAAUAUAGAUUAUGUUGCAUAUGGAGUAACAGAUAUGAUUUAAAAAUUUAAAUUAAUGAUAACUAAACAAAAUUACCUUAAAUUAUGUAGAACAUGUCAAAUAAGAAAAAAAUACUUAAAAUUAUGGAGAACGUGACAAAUAAUCAAAUUUAAAUUAAUGAACAAAUGAAAAAUAAGUAAAAUUGCCAAAAUUAAGGAGAA